GAACAGCUUACGUAGAUUGACGAGGUGUUCGUCCUCAGUCCGAGAUUUGGAAAUCAUGUCAUCUACGUAGACCUCUAUUUCCUUAUGCAUCAUGUCAUGGAAAAAUGCCACCAUGGCACGCUGAUAGGUUGCCCCAGCAUUUUGGAUCCCGAAGGCCAUCACUUUAUAGCAGAACAUCCCCCAUAGGGUGACGAAAGUGGUCUUCUCUACAUCUUCGGGUGCCAUCUUUAUUUGAUUAUACCCCGAGAAACCGUCCAUAAACGAGAAAAGGGCAAACUUAGCUGUAUUAUCUACCAAUACAUCAAUGUGUGGCAGAGGAAAAUUGUCUUUAGGACUGGCUCGGUUUAAGUCCUGAUAGUCUACACACAUUCGCACCUUGUCGUCCUUUUUCGGGACCGGG
rnacentral:misc_RNA from 1 species